UGAAACUUCAAAAAGGGUAUUGUAUGGAUGGCAUGCAAACUAGUAAGAACUUAUGCUUUGGUACAUUGGCUUGAAUGAACCUAUUUAAUAUCGUGAAUUUUUCAGAGAUGUAAGCAUAUUUGACACUUAAGUUCAAGGAUCUCUCUCAACAGAUGGAUAGACCCAUUCAGCUCCAUAUUUCAGGAGUAAAGAGUGAGAUGCAUCCCCAAGCAUCUCUGGACAUGAAAGGACAGCAUAGGUCAUCCAUAUGACAACACAAUCCUGUAAAUGGGACUAACAUCAGCAAGUUGCAUAUAUGACAAUGAAGAAGAUUAUUUGUCACUCUUUUGUCAUUCCUUAUUUUGGCUCUCUCAGUGUGGUCAACAGUCAGAAUAACAGAUAUUGUUGUUCAGGAGGAGACUUUCUUAAUGGUAAUACUUUGCCUUUGCUGUGUAAAAUCUAUAAAGUGCCUGACUGGAACAAUACAAUCAAUAAAACAGGCACUGAACUAGGGGUGGAUAAUAAUAUUUUCUUGGCAGUCCAGAAAGAAAAAGAAAAAAGAAAAGAAAAAAGAAAUGCACAUUUGUGCCUGUGGCUGUCUGCAGUAUUUGAUGCUAACUGAAACUGUUUUUCCCUGAAACUCAGAUUUUACUCCAUUCUCUUUGGAGCUUUCUAUCUUCUUACACACCAUCUCUCAGAUGCAGUAUAGUAAUGUAACUCUUGCCCAUUAGCUUUACUGCAGAAGAAGAAAGAACGCGUGGAUUACCAGGAUGUAACACUACAUUACCUUUUGUUGCCUCGUGAAUUUUUACAAUAAGGUUUUCUUUAUGAUAUAUAAAAGCUUGGAACAAAAUUUUGGAGUUGCAAAUGAAUUACAGAU
rnacentral:lncRNA from 1 species